CACAUCAGCUCGUGCACAGGCGGGCCAUCCAAGUGUCACCUCACGCGCGGACAAGCGCCGCACACUGUGUGCACGCUGUCCAUGCAGCAAGCCUGCGCGAAUAGGCCCUGUGUGCCUGGGGCUUACAUGAAGUAGGCCUGUGCGCGCAUAGGCUAGCCCCUGUGCACCUGCAGGCUAACCUGCAGUGCGCUGGUCGAGGCAUUGCCACCUCGGGCUCUGUGCCAUCGCUGCCUCGGAUGGCGCACUGCCAUCGCCAGUGGAGGAGGCCCUCUUUCCUAGUUUUUCAUGCCGAGCAUCUUUUUCUCCUUUCUCUUCACUGGAUUUUGCCAAGACGGUUCCAAAACUCUAUAAAUUGCCCUCCCCCUUCCCUUCCUCUCCACACUUUCGUUCUUCCAUUUUUCAAAGGUUGAGAGAAUGAGAGAGAG
rnacentral:lncRNA from 1 species